rnacentral:lncRNA from 1 species
UACCAUUGAGAGGGACUUAUACAUCCUGUAUUCUGUUGGGAACAUUUCAGGAGGCCAGGGUCUUGGAGGGGGUUAGACACCUGGAAAAACAGCCCUGGGCAAUUGAUCUCCAACCAGUGCAUUCUUACAGUAAGCGCUCAGGAAUGUGCCUGGUGGUCACGAGUUACUUUGCAUCUGGUGAACAUUAGAAAUGUAACCAAAGUCUCCAGAACAGUUGAGAGUGAUUGAGAGACUAAAAAAAAACUCUGCAUAAUGGCAAAAAGACCACCGAAAAACCUUAGGAGUUCUGUCAGCAGAUGGUGGUACCAGCAGCAGGACGCCCUCGCGAGAAAUGACAGCCAGGAAACUUCAUGAGGCCCAGAGGUAAUGAGGACGGAGCAAGAAUGAUGCCAGAGCUCCAGCAGGAGAGAGGCCUUGAGAGGGAACCUGGUCUGGAUGGUGUCUGGCACAUCCUUACACAAACCAUCAAAGUGCUUCUGCCUCCUAGAGUCUGAAGGCUGCUGAAAACUCUGCUGACCUCACAGUCUGGAGCCCCAGGGGUGAAAUGUCAAAGGCUGCCCAUCACCAUCAACAGAAGAAAAAGCCAAGGAUGGCUGCCUUCUCUCUUCUGCCUUCCAAAUCUGCCACCAAUAGAUCUUACUGGCAGAGCCCAAAUUGUAUCUGAAACCCUGCUGACAAUGGAAUAUGAGAAAUGUUGUUCCCAGUUUUUUAGCCCCUGCGAAACAGGAGCGAUAUGAGUGUAAAAGGGGCCAGGCACCUAUAGACAAUAUCUGGCCCAUUUGUGAAUUACCAAAUUAAUGUGAGUAGUCCUGUUUGACUAGAAUAGAAAAAGCAUUGAAUAUGUAAAGAGAAGACUGAUUGUUGGUUGGAGAGAGUUGGAGAAGGGAAAAGAAAGUGAGAACACUAGACCAAAAAGUGGAAUGGGUUAAAUGGAUAUUUAUUAGAGAUCUAUUAUGGUCCUUAUCCAGCAAAGUUACAUCAUUAAAGCAGUCGUUUAGGACAGUGAUGUCACUGAUGUGAUAGAAACGACUUUGUGUGUGUGUGCUUUGGGAGUGGAAAGAAAGGAGUAAGGUAGAGACUUGAAGUAGGGACACAGUUUAAGAGACAAUUCUAGGAAUCCACAAAUGAGGUUAUGGAGGCUGUGGAUUAGGAUAAAAGUGGCAAGAAUGGAGACAAAAGAGCACAUGUGAGAGAUACGGUCCCUGGGUCCAGAAAGAGAACCUUGUCCCCAAGAAUAUUCUAGUAUCCAGCAGCAGCAGCAUACCACUUGACUGAUCUGUGCCU